rnacentral:rRNA from 1 species
GACGUAGGGCGCGAGCGUUGUCCGGAUUUAUUGGGCGUAAAGAGCUCGUAGGCGGCUUGUCGCGUCGAAUGUGAAAUCUCAGGGCUCAACUCUGACAUUGCAUUCGAUACGGGCAGGCUAGAGUUCGGUAGGGGAGACUGGAAUUCCUGAUGUAGCGGUGAAAUGCGCAGAUAUCAGGAGGAACACCGGCGGCGAAGGCGGGUCUCUGGGCCGAUACUGACGCUGAGGAGCGAAAGCGUGGGGAGCGAACAGG